rnacentral:lncRNA from 1 species
UACAUGAUAGAAAUUUUAAUAAGUAAUACAUCAAUAAUUUCUAAAUUUAUUAUACAUAACCAUCGUAAUUGUGGAACAAUCUAAGAACUUAAAAUUUCAAAAUAUUUAUUAAGGUAUUUUCUAGACUUCUGGUGACAGAGGAAAACGAGUUAUUGGAAGACCUGUAACUUGAAAAAUAUUAAGGCAAGGGUGAGCGCCUAACUCAGUGAGUAGAAUUAGAUAACUUUCUCACCCUGCACAAUUACAUAAAUGCAUAUUUAAUUCAAUCUAGUCAUCUCAUUAGUUAUAUAACUAUACAGUCAAUCACACAAAUGGCAUAGCAACAACAAUCACAAAUACUAUCACAUUCACAUAACCACAUCAAGUGGAAAUUGAUCAUUCUGGAAUGGGCAAUAUAAGUUAUCCAACGCUACUCACAGUUCCAAAUUAUCCUUAACACGACUAUUUUUAUUAUUACUCACAGUUCCAAAUUAUCCCUAACACGACUAUUUUUAUUAUUGCUCUUUUUUUGCUUUUGUCUUGUCAUUCUGAAACUUUGUAAGCAUCUAGAAAAGAAAUUCUAAGUAAAAAUUCUAAUUCAAGAAAUUUAGUUUUCAUUCAUUUGCUAAGUACGUCACCACAACCGCUUUUCUUAAUUUGUCAAACUAUAUAGUUACAAAUCUCUUAUUUAUCUAUUUGUCCUGGUUUAUAACUUUAGUUUAAAGUGUUCUCGAGUAAAUUUAAUGUAUUAUAAUAAUAUCAAUUAUCAAUAAUAAUAAUAAUAAUAACAAUAAUAAUAAUAAUAAUAGCAAUACAAACAAUCUUAGUAGUUAUUAUCCACUAAUGUUAGAACUAAGCAAGUUCUUUAGCGUUCGACAGCAUUCUCCCUAUAAAUUGGAUUAACCAACUCUAAUUGAAUUUUUUUACAAGAAAAUAGUGUUGGGACUUAACGUUUACCGAUUAAAAAUCGAAUUGAAGAUUCGUGAUUACCGCAAAAAGGGGAAAAUUUCGCCUCUAGAAGCCUUAUCGGGGUCUAUCCCGCCGGUCAUUAGACCACCAGCACAACAGCUGAAAAAUCAGUUUCAACGAAAAAGGAAUCUGAAUUCCUUGGAUUUUCUCCUAAAGUCCAUAUCCAGCUUGAAUUUGUAGAGAGGAGAAGCCCUUUAGCCAAAAAUCAGCUCAAUAGUCUCCUUUGCCAUGAUUCGUGGAAAAUUCGCAAGACAGAGCUAAACGCUGGAAUUUAUAAAGGGAAAAUAAUCGUGAGGUGAUGGAGAGUCAAUCGAAAGCCUCAAUGAAGGCUGUCUUAGCCGAUAACGGUAGCAAUUGCCGAAAAAUGUGCUGCUACGGUAUCGAACCCCUUACUUACGGUUUCUCUCGAUCCAGGCCUUUAUUAUGCGAACAGUGGCCACAGGCAUGUUUGUCUCAUCGACCUUUCGAUUUUUAAGCCCUCACUCACCGGAAAGAAUGGCCAUUUGGCCGAAAAACGAGAAGGAAAUGAGGAGGGGACAGUUGACGAUAAGGAGAGGAGAAGGAAGCUUCUUUCUUUUUUGUUUUGGCUUUCUCUCUCCUUAUUUGAUUAGUAUAAAAAUCUGAUUUAGUCCAAAGCAAAUGGGUUGGGUUCAAAUCUGCUUUUAGAGGAUUCUGCUCUAGUUUAAAUAGUUUUAUACUCAAUUUUCCUAGGAUUUUAUGUGAUUUAAGUUUGAUCGAAAUUAUUUCGAUUCGUUUAGUUACUUUUAGAAUCUCCACUUAGUAAAACCAAGCUUCUUUAAUAAGUUUUGAUGGUCAAGUAUUAGUAAUUGUAACGAUUUUUAGUUCUGAUAACAAAUUUUUCAGCUUAAAUCUGAUUUUACGGAUUUAGGCUCAGAACGAAAUUGUUUAUAAUCCAUGUGAUCCAAAAUUCAGAUUUUUGAUUUAAUUAAAAUUUAAAAGUUUU